UGGCUCUGGAGAAGCCCGCAAAACGGGUACCGAAGGUGCAAGGCGGCCUGGCCGCUGAAUCUCUCAGGUAAAAGGACAGAGUGGA
rnacentral:ncRNA from 1 species